GUUGUAUGGUUAAGUGACUAAGCGUACACGGUGGAUGCCUUGGCAGUCAGAGGCGAUGAAAGACGUAGUAACUUGCGAUAAGCCCAGAUUAGGUAGUAACAACCAUUUGAGUCUGGGAUUUCUGAAUGGGGAAACCCACGUGCAUAAGCACGUAUCCUUACCUGAAUACAUAGGGUAAGGAGGCGAACCGGGGGAACUGAAACAUCUAAGUACCCCGAGGAAAAGAAAUCAACCGAGAUUCCGAAAGUAGCGGCGAGCGAAAUUGGACUAGCCCUUAAGCUUUACACGCGUUAGACGAACGGUCUGGAAAGUCCGACGAUACAGGGUGAUAGUCCCGUAGUUGACGACGUGUGUUCAGUGAAAUCGAGUAGGGCGGGACACGUGAUAUCCUGUCUGAAUAUGGGGGGACCAUCCUCCAAGGCUAAAUACUACUGACUGACCGAUAGUGAACCAGUACCGUGAGGGAAAGGCGAAAAGAACCCCUGUGAGGGGAGUGAAAUAGAACCUGAAACCGUGUACGUACAAGCAGUAGGAGCAGGCUUGUCCUGUGACUGCGUACCUUUUGUAUAAUGGGUCAGCGACUUAUAUUCAGUGGCAAGGUUAACCAUCUAGGGGAGCCGUAGGGAAACCGAGUCUUAACUGGGCGUUCAGUCUCUGGAUAUAGACCCGAAACCAGGUGAUCUAGCCAUGGGCAGGUUGAAGGUUGAGUAACAUCAACUGGAGGACCGAACCGACUAAUGUUGAAAAAUUAGCGGAUGACUUGUGGCUAGGGGUGAAAGGCCAAUCAAACCUGGAGAUAGCUGGUUCUCCCCGAAAGCUAUUUAGGUAGCGCCUCGGACGAAUACUACUGGGGGUAGAGCACUGUUAAGGCUAGGGGGUCAUCCCGACUUACCAACCCUUUGCAAACUCCGAAUACCAGUAAGUACUAUCCGGGAGACACACGGCGGGUGCUAACGUCCGUCGUGGAGAGGGAAACAACCCAGACCGCCAGCUAAGGUCCCAAAUUACUACUAAGUGGGAAACGAUGUGGGAAGGCUCAGACAGCCAGGAUGUUGGCUUAGAAGCAGCCAUCAUUUAAAGAAAGCGUAAUAGCUCACUGGUCGAGUCGGCCUGCGCGGAAGAUGUAACGGGGCUAAGUAGUAAACCGAAGCUGCGGCAAUAUACUUUUGUAUAUUGGGUAGGGGAGCGUUCUGUAAGCGGUUGAAGGUGUGUGGUAACGCAUGCUGGACGUAUCAGAAGUGCGAAUGCUGACAUGAGUAACGAUAAAGGGGGUGAAAAACCUCCUCGCCGGAAGACCAAGGGUUCCUGUCCAACGUUAAUCGGGGCAGGGUAAGUCGACCCCUAAGGCGAGGCCGAAAGGCGUAGUCGAUGGGAAACGGGUUAAUAUUCCCGUACUUCUUACAAUUGCGAUGGGGGGACGGAGAAGGCUAGGUGGGCCUGGCGACGGUUGUCCAGGUUCAAGUGCGUAGGCUGAGAGAUUAGGUAAAUCCGGUUUCUCUUAAGGCUGAGACACGACGUCGAGCACCUACGGGUGUGAAGUCAUUGAUGCCAUGCUUCCAGGAAAAGCCUCUAAGCUUCAGAUUGUAAGGAAUCGUACCCCAAACCGACACAGGUGGUCGGGUAGAGAAUACCAAGGCGCUUGAGAGAACUCGGGUGAAGGAACUAGGCAAAAUGGUACCGUAACUUCGGGAGAAGGUACGCUCUCGACGGUGAAGUCCCUUGCGGAUGGAGCUAUUGAGAGUCGCAGAUACCAGGUGGCUGCAACUGUUUAUUAAAAACACAGCACUGUGCAAAAUCGUAAGAUGACGUAUACGGUGUGACGCCUGCCCGGUGCCGGAAGGUUAAUUGAUGGGGUUAGACUUCGGUCGAAGCUCUUGAUCGAAGCCCCGGUAAACGGCGGCCGUAACUAUAACGGUCCUAAGGUAGCGAAAUUCCUUGUCGGGUAAGUUCCGACCUGCACGAAUGGCGUAAUGAUGGCCACGCUGUCUCCACCCGAGACUCAGUGAAAUUGAAAUCGCUGUGAAGAUGCAGUGUACCCGCGGCUAGACGGAAAGACCCCGUGAACCUUUACUACAGCUUGGCACUGAACAUUGACCCUACAUGUGUAGGAUAGGUGGGAGGCUUUGAAGCACGUACGCCAGUAUGUGUGGAGCCGUCCUUGAAAUACCACCCUUGUAGUGUUGAUGUUCUAACGUCGACCCCUUAUCGGGGUUGCGGACAGUGCCUGGUGGGUAGUUUGACUGGGGCGGUCUCCUCCCAAAGAGUAACGGAGGAGCACGAAGGUGGGCUAAUCACGGUUGGACAUCGUGAGGUUAGUGCAAUGGCAUAAGCCCGCUUGACUGCGAGAAUGACAAUUCGAGCAGGUGCGAAAGCAGGUCAUAGUGAUCCGGUGGUUCUGAAUGGAAGGGCCAUCGCUCAACGGAUAAAAGGUACUCCGGGGAUAACAGGCUGAUACCGCCCAAGAGUUCAUAUCGACGGCGGUGUUUGGCACCUCGAUGUCGGCUCAUCACAUCCUGGGGCUGAAGUCGGUCCCAAGGGUAUGGCUGUUCGCCAUUUAAAGUGGUACGCGAGCUGGGUUUAGAACGUCGUGAGACAGUUCGGUCCCUAUCUGCCGUGGGCGUUGGAAGAUUGAAGGGGGCUGCUCCUAGUACGAGAGGACCGGAGUGGACGAACCUCUGGUGUUCGGGUUGUGUCGCCAGACGCAUUGCCCGGUAGCUAAGUUCGGAAUCGAUAACCGCUGAAAGCAUCUAAGCGGGAAGCGAGCCCUGAGAUGAGUCUUCCCUGAUACUUUAAGUAUCCUAAAGGGUUGUCGGAGACUACGACGUUGAUAGGUCAGGUGUGUAAGUGCUGUGAGGCAUUGAGCUAACUGAUACUAAUUGCCCGUGAGGCUUAACCAUACAACACCCAAGGGGUUU
rnacentral:rRNA from 2 species